GGGGUCAGGAUUGGGGUCAUGGGGUCAGGAUUGGGGUCACGGGGUCAGGAUUGGGGUCAGGAUUGGGGUCAGGGGGUCAGGAUUGGGGUCAGGAUCGGGGUCAGGAUCAGGGUCAGGGGUCAGGGGAUCAAUGGGGUCAGGAUCAGUGAGGUCAGUGGGAUUAUCAAGAUCGAUCAAUGGGAUCAAUGACCAAUGGGAUCAGGGAUCAAUGGGAUCAGGGAUCAAUGGGAUUAUCGGGAUCAAUGGGAUCAGGGAUCAAUGGGAUUAUCGGGAUCCGUGGGAUUAUCGGGAUCCGUGGGGUCAGUGGGAUCCAAGAGGCCUCAGGAAAUGGGGAGCAGCGGGGUGAGGAGGACGAGGAGGAUGAGGAGGAUGGGGAGGAGGAUGAAGGCUCACACGAGGUCCCAGGGGAUUGGGAUGAGUUUUAGGAUGAGGAGGAUGAUGAGGAUGAAGGCACACAUGAGGUCCCAAAGGACGGGGAUGAUGAGGAGGAUGAUGAGGAUGAGGAGGAUGGGGAGGAGGAUGAGGAUGAGGAGGAGGAUGAGGAUGAGGAGGAUGGGGAGGAGGAUGAAGGCUCACAUGAGGUCCCAGGAGAUCCCCGCCUGCUCCAGCUGCUCCAUCAGCUCCGUCAGGCGGCUCCGGAAGAAAACCUGCUGCUCCAUCAGCUCCGUCAGGCGGCUCCGGAAGAAAACCUCGAAGCGCAAAUCGUCCUCGAACACCAGCGAGCGCUGCAGGCCCCGCUCGGCGAUCUGGGAGCGCCCAAAAUCCACCAAAUUCACCCUAAAUCCACCCAAAAUCACCCAAAAUCCACCCAAAAUCCACCAAAAUCUGCCCAAAUCCACCCAAAAUCCACCUAAAUCUGCCCAAAUCCACCCAAAAUCCACCAAAUCCACCCUAAAUCCACCUAAAUACACCCAAAAUCUGCCCGAAUCCACCCAAAAUCCACCUAAAUCUGCCCAAAUCCACCCAAAUCCACCCAAAAUCCACCUAAAUCUGCCCAAAUCCACCCAAAAUCCACCUAAAUCUGCCCAAAUCCACUCAAAAUCCACCCAAAUCCACCCAAAAUCCACCAAAAUCCACCCCAAACCCACCCAAAUCCACCCCAACUUCAUCCAAAAUCCACCCAAAUUCCCAAAAAGUCCCCCAGAAAACACAAAAAAAAAUUCCAACAAAAUCCCCCAAAAAUCCCAAAAUGUAAAAAAAAAUCCACAAAAAAUCCCCCCAAAAAUUCCCAAAAAAUUCCCAAAAAUCCCCCCAAAAAUUCCAAAAAAUCCAAAAAAAUUCCCCAAAAUUCCAAAAAAAUUCCCCCCAAAAAUUCCAAAAAAUUCCCAAAAAAUCCCCAAAAAUCCCAAAAAAAUCCAAAAAAAAUCCCCAAAAUUCAAAAAAAUUCCCCCCAAAAAUUCCCAAAAAAUCCCCCCAAAAAUUCCAAAAAAUCCCCAAAAAUCCCAAAAAAAUUCCCAAAAAAUCCCAAAAAAAUUCCAAAAAAUUCCCCCCAAAAAUUCCCCCAAAAAUUCCCCAAAAUUCCAAAAAAUUCCCCCCAAAAAUUC
rnacentral:lncRNA from 1 species